rnacentral:rRNA from 1 species
GACGAACGCUGGCGGCGUGCUUAACACAUGCAAGUCGAACGGAAAGGCCCUGCUUUUGUGGUGUGCUCGAGUGGCGAACGGGUGAGUAACACGUGAGUAACCUGCCCUUGACUUUGGGAUAACUUCAGGAAACUGGGGCUAAUACCGGAUAGGAGCUCCUGCUGCGUGGUGGGGGUUGGAAAGUUUCGGCGGUUGGGGAUGGACUCGCGGCUUAUCAGCUUGUUGGUGGGGUAGUGGCUUACCAAGGCUUUGACGGGUCGCCGGCCUGAGAGGGUGACCGGCCACAUUGGGACUGAGAUACGGCCCAGACUCCUACGGGAGGCAGCAGUGGGGAAUAUGGUACAAUGGGCGGAAGCCUGAUGCAGCAACGCCGCGUGCGGGAUGACGGCCUUCGGGUUGUAAACCGCUGUCGCCUGUGACGAAGCGUGAGUGACGGUAAUGGGUAAAGAAGCACCGGCUAACUACGUG